rnacentral:rRNA from 1 species
GACGAACGCUGGCGGCGUGCUUAACACAUGCAAGUCGAACGGAAAGGCCCUGCUUGCAGGGUACUCGAGUGGCGAACGGGUGAAUAACACGUGGGUGAUCUGCCCUGCACUUCGGGAUAAGCCUGGGAAACUGGGUCUAAUACCGGAGAUGAGCCAUUUUUAGUGUGAGGGUUGGAAAGUUUUUUCGGUGUGGGAUGAGCUCGCGGCCUAUCAGCUUGUUGGUGGGGUAAUGGCCUACAGAGGCGGCGACGGGUAGAGGGACUGAGAGGGUGGACGGCCACCUUGGGACCUACGGGCGGCACAGACGCCUACGGGAGGAAGCAGGGGGGAAGAUUGCACCAGGGGUGCAAGCCUGAUGCAGAGACGCCGCGGGGGGGAUGACGGCCUUCGGGUUGUAAACUACGUUCGCUCUGGACGAAGCUUUUUGUGACGGUACCGAGAGAAGAAGCACCGGCUAACUACGUG